rnacentral:rRNA from 1 species
UACGAAGGGGGCUAGCGUUGUUCGGAAUUACUGGGCGUAAAGCGCACGUAGGCGGAUUGUUAAGUUAGGGGUGAAAUCCCAGGGCUCAACCCUGGAACUGCCUUUAAUACUGGCAAUCUCGAGUCCGAGAGAGGUGAGUGGAAUUCCGAGUGUAGAGGUGAAAAUUCGUAGAUAUUCGGAGGAACACCAGUGGCGAAGGCGGCUCACUGGCUCGGUACUGACGCUGAGGUGCGAAAGCGUGGGGAGCAAACAGGG